rnacentral:rRNA from 1 species
AUUGAACGCUGGCGGCAGGCCUAACACAUGCAAGUCGAGCGGAGCGGAGGACGGGAGAGUAAUGCCUAGGAAUCUGCCUGGUAGUGGGGGAUAACGGCCGGAAACGGGCGCUAAUACCGCAUACUAAAAGAUGAGACUAGGUCGGAUUAGCAAGUUGGUGGGGUAAAGGCCUACCAAGGGGACGAUCCGUAACUGGUCUGAGAGGAUGAUCAGUCACACUUGAACUGUGACACGGUCCAGACUCCUACGGGAGUCAGCAGUGGGGAAUAUUGGACAAUGGGCGAAAGCCUGAUCCAGCCAUGCCGCGUGUUUGAAGAAGGUCUUCGGAUUGUAAAGCACUGUAAGUUGGGAGGCGUUACCAACAGAAUAAGCACCGGCUAACUCCGUGCCAGCAGCCGCGGUAAUAC